AUAUCUCUCUGUACGGGAAGGAUGAGAAGCUUCUACCAGGGUUCGAUUCGAGCGCAGCGAGAAAGCGUUGCCGCAGGCAACGACCCGAAGGGCGAAGCGCGCAGCG
rnacentral:sRNA from 2 species